rnacentral:lncRNA from 1 species
GGACAUGUGGCCUUGGUGAAGAUAUCCGCCAAUUGAUCUUCACUUCUAGUGUAACAUGGGAGUGUUACACCUUCUUCAAUCUUUUCUCGGACCUUGUGGCAAUCCACUUCAACGUGCUUGGUUCUCACAUGUAAGACCGAGUUUGUGGCUAUGUGAAUGGCGGCUUGGUUGUCGCAAUGCAUGGUGAUAGGUCUCGGUGUUUCAAUGCCAAGGUCUUUGAGGAGAGCUUUUAGCCAAGUGAGUUCAUUUGUAAGCUUCUUCAUGGCCCUAUACUCCGCUUCCGCACUAGAACAUGAAACCACCUUUUGUUUCUUAGACUUCCAUGUGACCAAAUUUCCACCAACGAACGUGCAAUAGCCGGUUGUUGAUCUCCUUGUAAUAGUAUCCCCGGCAUAAUCCGCAUCACAAUAUCCUACCAUCUCGGUAUUUGCAUUCUUUCCCAUCCAAAGACCUUGACCGGGGCUACCUUUGACAUAUCUCAAGAUCCUCUCCACCAUAUUCCAAUGAUACUUGGUGGGAUUUUUCAUGUAUUGGCUGGCCUGAUUCACGGUAAAACAAAGGUCAGGCCGUGUGAGAGUUAAGUAGAUUAACUUACCUACAAGGUGAUGCAAGAUUGGAAUCACUCCAAAGUUUAGAUCACUUGAUGAUCAAGAGAUUCCAAGCUUAGCUUGCGGAAGGUGGAAUUCACGAGCUGGCCAGAAGCACUCUCUCGUGAAUCAGUGGGUGGUUCAGGGGAUAGUUCAGGUGAUUGACUCGCUUAAUCAGUGGGAUAAUCGACUCACUCGAUCAAUGGACGAAUGAAGGUUGUUGAAUCACACAACAAACUUAAUCCGCAGGUUUCUAAAGAACUAAGUGACUCACUCACAAAGAACUAAAGAAGAAGAUUGACAAAGACUCAAACUUUGACAAGAAGAAUACUUUUCUAUUACUUUAAAUUGAUCAAGGGUGUUUUUACAAUGAGACUAAUGAUCAGCUUAUAUAGGCUGAAUACACACGUUCUAAACCUAGAAAGAAGAUAGAAAUCGAAACAAUUAAUGAAAAUAUGGAUGUUGGACCAUUAAGUGUAGAAUCGGUCCAAAUAAGGCAAGUGAGGUGUGCCUUGUAUCUCGUCAACUUGGGAAGGUAAUAGUGACGUCUUGGAAGCUUCUUAUGUACUUGGAGAUGAUGUAUCACACACAUGAACUUAAUAGGCAAGAGUCGUUGUGCCUUGAUGACAAUCGAGUCCAGAAAAGGCGAGUAAUAAUAUGAUUGAAUCCGCCUGAUCCAAUGGCUAUUAUUGUGUGUGAAUAUACUCCAAAUAUUCUCUGGUGGCUUUAGAGGUUCUCCUGGUUUCCAUAUGUAGCUUUGAGACACGUCCAUAUGAAGGUAAAGGAGAUUUUCCUUAUCUUGCUCCAAGUAGAUCAAUCGCCUUGAUUCAAAGGGUGGUUUAGACUUGGGUCUUCUCCUGGGCUGUUCUCCAUGGGCUGGGGCCUUUUGGUGAAUCAAAUGAAUGUGUGGACUCCCUUCAUGGUUGAUCCAAGUGUUAAAAGACUUCAAAUCCUCAAAGCUCGCAAUCUGAUGUAGUUCAGGUAGUCGGUCAGCGAGUAGUUCAGGAAGUCGGUCAGCGAGUAGUUCAGCAUGCUUGUCAGCAAGUAGUUCAGCAUGCUUGUCAGCGAGUAGUUCAGCAUGCUUGUCCGCGAGUAGAUCAGAAUGUACAUCAGCUAUCAUCUUUGAAUCAUAUGGAUGGUGAAUGAUUCCUUGAUGACUUUGUGUUGCCUCAUUAAAAACCUUUCUAGGUAAACCCAUUGGGACAAACCCUAGAUAAGGGAAAAAGAGUACAACAGUCAUAUCCCAAUAGUAAGGUGAUUUGACUUGCUGAUUUUUGAUCCCUCUUGAACUGUCGGACUUCUUAGGGUUAAUAUCAUGGUGAAUAAUUAACCCUUCACCUUGUACUUGAUCAGAACUCCACUUAGACAAAGAUUCUCCAAAAUUCUCCAUGUAGACCGGUUUGGUGUGCUCUUGGUCUGAUCUAGUUCUGAUGUCCGCAUCAUACCCUCUCUCUUGAAAAAGUUUCGACCUCGAAACUGUACAAUCUGCACCAAGAGAAAGUAAGUUAGCUUUCAUGCGAUUUUGAGAUUUCAAGGUCUUACCUUGGUGUUGUUCUGUCUUCAUGAUGCAUGGUGCAUCCGGUGGCUCUCCUUUGAGCAAGAAAGUAAAGAUCACUCCUCGGUUUUGAUCUAGUACAACGGUUGAUGGUGUAACGUGGUUAGCUCCUUCUUGGGUAUGUGCUUGAGUUUUGAAAUCUGGCGGUUCCUCUUUGAUUAAGAAUGAACUUGGGACUCUCCUAGUCUCCAUUAGGGAAGGUGUGACCACCAAUGGCGCUGGUUUACUCCGGUUCCGAUUUUGAUUCAAGCGUUUCUUCAUCUCCGGUGGUUCGCCUUUAUGAUCCUCAUUCGUACCUGCAAUGUUGUUUACACUUUUGGCAAAGAACAAGUGCAUUAAUACAGUCAUGGGAACAAUAUAAACAUGUAAAACAAGGACGAGUUGAACCAUUUCUCUUUUAUAAAGUUUAUCAAUAAGUAUGGCACAAAGUGUAUCAACUAAUCGAUAUGAUUUAAAACAAGAAAUUGAUUCUACAUGUUUAUUUAAAUAACCAACGUUUCUCUCAAACUUUCUAGACCUUAACAACAUUAUUAUCACAUCAUUCAAAUUAUUAGAAAUAACUCGAAGUAACGUGGGACUUACUUGACAUAGAUCUUUGUUGAAUAUAUCUUUCGAAAUAACCACGGUUGGUUGAUUCAAUGACUGGUCUGGUGAUUCUUCUUGCAGCAAGAUGUUGUAGGUGCUAACUUCAUCAUCUUUAUUAGCUGGUAAACACAUCUUAAGCUCUUGAACUGGAUGCAUGUUAUCACUCUUUGCUAGUUUCUCCGUUUGCUCCACAUUCAAUAUCCUGUGGGAUGUGGUCUCUCGCUCAUCAUGAUACUCUUUUAUGGUACCUGUAUCUUUCUUGACACUUAAGAAUAAAAUCAAGUGCAUUAUACUUGAAAUAAAAUCAUUUAAAACAAAGUCUUUGAAGCUACGAUUAAUUAUUAAAUUAUUCCAAUAUCGAACAAGAUCGUAGGUUUCACUUACUAGGAUAUCAUUUAAGGUGUUUGGUAUGAACUCAACCUUAAUGAGAGAGAUGUUUGAAGCAAGAUAAGAUGAUGUUGAACAUAGUUGGGCCUUCACACGUGCUUCAACAAAUGCUUGCUCACACGUCUCAUUUUUGCAAACUUGUGAUAACGUUGUUUCCGAAAGUUUCUCCUUAAGGCUUAUGUCAUUCUCAACUUCCUUAGGAGUUGCUACAUUAUGGUUUGCUUCUUCAGCCAUGUCAUUCAUGAUAUGGCACAGACCUGCAUCAAUAACCUUUGGCAAAGACAAGUGCAUUAAUCUAGAAUUGGAAAUUUCUAAACUUUAUUUCAUUAGACAAUCAUUUUAGUUAGAUGCAUUCAGUUUUAACUCUAUUGAUGUGAUACCUUCUACUUGUCUUUCAGGACAUAUUGCAGCAAAAUGACCUCUCUUAUGGCAUCUAUAACAUGUUGGUGCAUUUGAAUUUAAAUAGUUAGAGGACUUACCUUGCUCUUGUUUAUCUUGCGGCUUAAGUAAAGGUAUUGAAGCCGAAUCUUCCCUUUCACCUAUACCUUUCUCAUUCUUCUUGGAUGAAAGCAAGUGUAUCACGUGCUCAACUUGUUGAUAAAANNNNNNNNNNNNNNNNNNNNNNNNNNNNNNNNNNNNNNNNNNNNNNNNNNNNNNNNNNNNNNNNNNNNNNNNNNNNNNNNNNNNNNNNNNNNNNNNNNNNGCUUAGAAGUUGUGUCACUUACCUUGGCGGGUGAUAUAUCCGCGUUGUGUUUGGAACUAACACGUUGAUGUGUUGUGUUCUCUCGGCUUGGUUCCUUUGAGGGAUAAGUGUUUUGACCGGGAUGGGACAUCAUUUGAGGUGCAUAUCUCUCCCUCAUAAGCAGCUUUAUUUGUCCCCACGUUCUGAGUGAUGGCUCCUUGUACCAUACUCUAUCUUUUUCCUCUCGCUUCCACCAAUGUUUUGCACUUCCCAUGAAUUGUUCAAGACUGUAGGUGAGCCUCUCUUCUUUGGGAAUGGAAUAGUACCUAAAGUACUUGUCCAUGUUGAUUUCCCAUUGUAGAUAAUCUCUUUCAUGUCCUGCAAAUUCAAAACUUUCAGGUCCAAAAUACUCAUAACCAUUGUUUAGAGAUAACAUGUAAUUCGUCUUGUGGGUUCGGUUGGGAUUGGAUAGCAACGGGUCUCUUCUAGCACCAUAUUCUAGCUCGCCUCCUCUUAGUUUACUGGUCCUUGCAUCUCUCUCAGCUAGGGGAUCACGUCUACCACUUGAAUGUGGUUCAAAACGAAUUGAUGAUCGUUGACUCACUUCCUGUACUACUCGUGGGUUUGUACAGAAGUACUUGUCUCUUGGUUUUGUUUGACGUGAGGCUGUAGGGACUCGGUGUAAUAAGAGGUGAUGGUCGGUCUUCUCUUCACGCCUUGGAGGACGUCGAUACUGGUUGCCCUUUGUUGUUGCCUUUUUAUACUCCAUGUCUUCUUUUCGCUUAAGAUAAUCAUCUUUUCCUGAAAAAGACAUAAUUUGGGUCAGUGGGGAUUUUGAACCAUGGCUGGAAAAAUUUUCAUUAAAUUUAAUCCAUGGUUUAGAAUAGCCUUUAUUGCUGUUGUAUGAGUCAGGCGGUUCUGGUUCUGGUGCUUCAUGGCCUGGUUCAUCUCUUGAAUCAGAAGUUGAACUAUCAUCUCUUUGCCACGCGACUGUUCCAUAGUUGUCUUCCUCAUCUAACGUGACUUGAUAGGGAUCUUCUCCAUGAAUUUCUGCAUCUGAAUAAAGCUCAAUAGACUCCAUGUUUGCUCUGGUCUUCGUAAUUGAAAAAUCUUGCACAAGCAAAAGAAAGAUGUAUCAAAAAGUAAAUCAACAAAUAAGGAAAAUACUUCAAAAAAAUAGAAAUGAAUAUAUAUAUAUUUUUUUUAAAUAAAUCCGAAAAAUUCAAAUAACGAAAAGGAAAAAUUCAGCUUUUAUUUUAUUUUCUGGUUUUAUAAAAAUAAAAUACGAAAUUAAUAUAAAAUAACAAAAAUUAUGAUUUUUAUGGCUUUUCUUUUAAUAAAUCCGAAAUAAAUAAGAAAAUGAAGUAAAACAAUUUUUUUUUGAUAAAAUACUGAAGCAAAUAACAAGAUUAAUGCAAGGAAUAAAAAUUUAUUUGAUUAUUUAUAUAUAUAUAUAUAUAUAAAAUAAAAAUAAUAAGAAAAAAUAGAAAAACAAAUAUAGGUUGAAAAGAUACAACCUUGGGGAUAGGAGCUUUUGAAGCUCUGAUACCAGAUGAUGCAAGAUUGGAAUCACUCCAAAGUUUAGAUCACUUGAUGAUCAAGAGAUUCCAAGCUUAGCUUGCGGAAGGUGGAAUUCACGAGCUGGCCAGAAGCACUCUCUCGUGAAUCAGUGGGUGGUUCAGGGGAUAGUUCAGGUGAUUGACUCGCUCAAUCAGUGGGAUAAUCGACUCACUCGAUCAAUGGACGAAUGAAGGUUGUUGAAUCACACAACAAACUUAAUCCGCAGGUUUCUAAAGAACUAAGUGACUCACUCACAAAGAACUAAAGAAGAAGAUUGACAAAGACUCAAACUUUGACAAGAAGAAUACUUUUCUAUUACUUUAAAUUGAUCAAGGGUGUUUUUACAAUGAGACUAAUGAUCAGCUUAUAUAGGCUGAAUACACACGUUCUAAACCUAGAAAGAAGAUAGAAAUCGAAACAAUUAAUGAAAAUAUGGAUGUUGGACCAUUAAGUGUAGAAUCGGUCCAAAUAAGGCAAGUGAGGUGUGCCUUGUAUCUCGUCAACUUGGGAAGGUAAUAGUGACGUCUUGGAAGCUUCUUAUGUACUUGGAGAUGAUGUAUCACACACAUGAACUUAAUAGGCAAGAGUCGUUGUGCCUUGAUGACAAUCGAGUCCAGAAAAGGCGAGUAAUAAUAUGAUUGAAUCCGCCUGAUCCAAUGGCUAUUAUUGUGUGUGAAUAUACUCCAAAUAUUCUCUGGUGGCUUUAGAGGUUCUCCUGGUUUCCAUAUGUAGCUUUGAGACACGUCCAUAUGAAGGUAAAGGAGAUUUUCCUUAUCUUGCUCCAAGUAGAUCAAUCGCCUUGAUUCAAAGGGUGGUUUAGACUUGGGUCUUCUCUUGGGCUGUUCUCCAUGGGCUGGGGCCUUUUGGUGAAUCAAAUGAAUGUGUGGAAUCCCUUCAUGGUUGAUCCAAGUGUUAAAAGACUUCAAAUCCUCAAAGCUCGCAAUCUGAUGUAGUUCAGGUAGUCGGUCAGCGAGUAGUUCAGGAAGUCGGUCAGCGAGUAGUUCAGCAUGCUUGUCAGCGAGUAGUUCAGCAUGCUUGUCAGCGAGUAGUUCAGCAUGCUUGUCCGCGAGUAGAUCAGAAUGUACAUCAGCUAUCAUCUUUGAAUCAUAUGGAUGGUGAAUGAUUCCUUGAUGACUUUGUGUUGCCUCAUUAAAAACCUUUCUAGGUAAACCCAUUGGGACAAACCCUAGAUAAGGGAAAAAGAGUACAACAGUCAUAUCCCAAUAGUAAGGUGAUUUGACUUGCUGAUUUUUGAUCCCUCUUGAACUGUCGGACUUCUUAGAGUUAAUAUCAUGGUGAAUAAUUAACCCUUCACCUUGUACUUGAUCAGAACUCCACUUAGACAAAGAUUCUCCAAAAUUCUCCAUGUAGACCGGUUUGGUGUGCUCUUGGUCUGAUCUAGUUCUGAUGUCCGCAUCACAAGGCGUCGAUUUUGCUUUGGGUCUUCAUACGGCUCAUCGAGAGGAUCUGAGGGAACAUUCUUC